GACGAACGCUGGCGGCGUGCCUAACACAUGCAAGUCGAACGGGCCUUGUCCCCUUUUUUUUGGGGGUGGGGUUAGUGGCGAACGGGUGAGUAACACGUGAGUAACCUGCCCCUCACUUCUGGAUAACCGCUUGAAAGGGUGGCUAAUACGGGGUGUUCUGGCCUGCUCGCAUGGGUGGGUUUGGAAAGAUUCGACCGGUUUUGGUUGUUUUGGUGGGGGAUGGGCUCGCGGCCUAUCAGCUUGUUGGUGGGGUGAUGGCCUGCCAAGGCUUUGACGGGUAGCCGGCCUGAGAGGGUGGGCGGUCACACUGGGACUGAGACACGGCCCAGACUCCUACGGGAGGCAGCAGUGGGGAAUAUUGCACAAUGGGCGCAAGCCUGAUGCAGCGACGCCGCGUGAGGGAUGGAGGCCUUCGGGUUGUGAACCUCUUUCGCCAGUGAAGAAGGUCCUGCUCUUUGUGGUGGGGUUGACGGUAGCUGGGUUAAUGAAGCGCCGGCUAACUACGUG
rnacentral:rRNA from 1 species